UUUCCUUCUAUUGCAAAACAUGUUGAAGCUCUCGUGUAACUUACACGCGACUGAUAAGUUACAGAGCUUCUCCUCGCAUUAUCAUCAAUCGGAUCCGGUUCAUGGGAGAACCGUCUCCUCCGUCUCUUGUUCUGAGGAUAGGAAAACGGGUUUGAAUCCUCUGCGGGCGGCUGUAUCUGCUGAUCAAGAAAGUGUGAUUCGAGCAGAACAAGGUUUAGGCACACUCGCGGGUCGGCUCCGGUUGGGUAGCUUGACGGAGGAUGGUUUGUCGUACAAGGAGAAGUUCAUAGUCAGAUCCCACGAAGUGCAGAGUAACAAAACCGCUACGGUCCAAACCAUUGCCAAUCUUUUGCAGGAGGUGGGAUGUAAUCAGUUUCAGAGCAUUGGGUUUUCGACUGAUGGGUUUGCGACAACACCAACCAUGAGGAAACUGAAUCUCAUUUGGGUCACUUCCAGAAUGCACAUUGAGAUCUACAAAUAUCCAGCUUGGGGUGAUGUGGUUGAGAUAGAGACAUGGUGUCAGAGUGAAGGAAGGAUCGGGACAAGGCGUGAUUGGAUUCUUAAGGAGGUUGCUACUGGUGAAGUCACUGGCCGUGCUACAAGCAAGUGGGUGACGAUGAACCGAGUCACAAGAAGGCUUCAGAAAAUUUCAGAUGAUGUUCGGGACGAGCACUUGAUGUUCUGUCCUAAAGAACCCAGAUUAGCAUUUCCUGAGGAGGAAAAUAACCGAAGCUUGAAGAAAAUCCCCAAACUCGAAGAUCAGGCCCAAUACUCAAUCAUUGGACUUAAGCCAAGACGAGCUGAUCUCGACAUGAACCAUCAUGUCAAUAAUGUCACAUAUAUUGGAUGGCUUCUUGAGAGCAUACCUCAAGAGAUUGUAGACACGCACGAACUUCAGGUCAUAACUCUGGAUUACAGACGAGAAUGUCAGCAAGACGAUGUGGUGGAUUCACUCACCACCUCAAAGAGUGGCCCUGCAACAUCAGGCACACAAAGCCACAACGAUAGCCAGUUCUUACAUCUCCUAAGGUUGUCUGGAGAUGGUCAGGAGAUCAACCGUGGGACAACCAUGUGGAGAAAGAAGCCCUUCAGAUAGACAAUCUCUAUGCCAUUUUAAUAACACCUUACGAGCCAAGGGACCAACCAUUUCACAUUGAAAAAUAGCGAAGAAUGGACGAGAUAUCGUAUGAGUGAGAUCAAUACACGGACACAUAUCAUAUGGUGAUUGCAUAGUCGACAAAUAACACUUUCAAGUCUCCAAAAAAUCAACAUAACAUCCGUCAGAAUAGGAUCCAUGGACCAAAUGAGCAGGUGUGAAAGACUAACUAGCCAUGGAUGGUCAGAGCAUAUUUCAUAAUGCUCCAUGGUAUAUGUGAUACAAUAGAUUUACGUGCGGAAAGAUCUGCACAACAAUUACUUGAUAUGUUAUUGAAGUUGAAAGAAAUCUGAGAAUAAUGACUAUGCCAGCAACCAGGGCCGACUUAAUGGGGGCAAACUUUACAAUCACCCCGGAUCUAAUUCGAUGUCUCCCUAUU